GGGCGGUUAGCUCAGCCUGGGAGAGCGCUACCCUUACAAGGUAGACGUCACUGGUUCGAACCCAGUACCGCCCA
rnacentral:tRNA from 1 species